rnacentral:rRNA from 1 species
UACGUAGGGGGCAAGCGUUGUCCGGACUUACUGGGCGUAAAGCGUGCGCAGGCGGUUGUGCAAGACAGAUGUGAAAUCCCCGGGCUUAACCUGGGAACUGCAUUUGUGACUGCACAGCUGGAGGGCGGCAGAGGGGGAUGGAAUUCCGCGUGUAGCAGUGAAAUGCGUAGAUAUGCGGAGGAACACCGAUGGCGAAGGCAAUCCCCUGGGCCUGCACUGACGCUCAUGCACGAAAGCGUGGGGAGCAAACAGG